ACGGACGCUUUGGGAAACUGGAGCGUUAGUGGCAAACGGGUGAGUAACACGUGGGUGACCUGCCUCAAAGUGGGGAACAACAGACCGAAAGGUUUGCUAAUACCGCAUUAGUUCGGUGAUUCAAUUUGCCGAAUAAAGCCGAAAGGCGCUUUGAGAGGGGCCCGCGUCCCAUCAGGUAGUUGGUGAGGUAAUGGCUCACCAAGCCGAUGACGGGUAGCUGGUCUGAGAGGACGAUCAGCCACAAUGGAACUGAGAUACGGUCCAUACUCCUACGGGAGGCAGCAGUGAGGAAUAUUGGGCAAUGGGCGCAAGCCUGACCCAGCGACGCCGCGUGGGUGACGAAGGCCUUCGGGUCGUAAAACCCUUUUGUCAGGGACGAGUGAGGACGGUACCUGGCGAAUAAGUCUCGGCUAACUACGUGCCAGCAGCCGCGGUAAAACGUANGAGGCGAGCGUUAUCCGGAUUUACUGGGCGUAAAGCGCGCGUAAGCGGUUGGGUAAGUCUGACGUGAAAGCCCCUGGCUCAACUGGGGGAGGUCGUUGGAUACUGCCCGGCUUGAGGGUGA
rnacentral:rRNA from 1 species